AACGUAGGACGCAAGCGUUAUCCGGAGUUACUGGGCGUAAAGCGCGGGCAGGCGGCUCGAAACGUCUGAUGUGAAAUCUCCUCGCUCAACGGGGAGAGGCCAUUGGAAACGGUCGAGCUGGAGGGCAGUAGAGGCAGGCGGAAUUCCGGGUGGAGUGGUGAAAUGCGUAGAGAUCCGGAGGAACACCAGAGGCGAAGGCGGCCUGCUGGGCUGCACCUGACGCUGAACCGCGAAAGCCAGGGGAGCGAACGGG
rnacentral:rRNA from 1 species